GGGGUUGUAGCUCAGUGGUAGAGUGCUUGCCUAAUAUGCAUGAGGCACUGGGUUCAAUCCUUAGCACCA
rnacentral:tRNA from 1 species